rnacentral:rRNA from 1 species
UACGUAGGGGGCAAGCGUUGUCCGGAAUCAUUGGGCGUAAAGCGCGCGUAGGCGGCCCGGUAAGUCCGUUGUGAAAGUCAAAGGCUCAACCUUUGAACGCCGAUGGAUACUGCCGGGCUAGAGUCCGGAAGAGGCGAGUGGAAUUCCUGGUGUAGCGGUGGAAUGCGCAGAUAUCAGGAGGAACACCAAUAGCGGAGGCAGCUCGCUGGGACGGUACUGACGCUGAGGCGCGAAAGCGUGGGGAGCAAACAGG